AUUGAACGCUGGCGGCAUGCUUUACACAUGCAAGUCGAACGGUAACAGGUUAAGCUGACGAGUGGCGAACGGGUGAGUAAUGCAUCGGAACGUGCCCAGUCGUGGGGGAUAACGCAGCGAAAGCUGUGCUAAUACCGCAUACGAUCUAUGGAUGAAAGCGGGGGACCGUAAGGCCUCGCGCGAUUGGAGCGGCCGAUGUCAGAUUAGCUAGUUGGUGGGGUAAAGGCCCACCAAGGCGACGAUCUGUAGCUGGUCUGAGAGGACGACCAGCCACACUGGAACUGAGACACGGUCCAGACUCCUACGGGAGGCAGCAGUGGGGAAUUUUGGACAAUGGGCGCAAGCCUGAUCCAGCAAUGCCGCGUGCAGGAAGAAGGGCCUUCGGGUUGUAAACUGCUUUUGUACGGUAACGAAAAGGCUAUGGCUAAUACCCGGAGCUCAUGACGGUACCGUAAGAAUAAGCACCGGCUAACUACGUAGCCAGCAGCC
rnacentral:rRNA from 1 species